GGGGCCCGCGGCGCCAGGCGAUUGGCCGGCGCCCCGCGCGGAGCCGCUCCCCCGCCCUUACCGCCCGGCGGGCGCUUCCUGAACUCGGCUCCGGCGGCUGCCGGCGCGCCGGCGGGGUUGGAGAGUGAGGGGGCUGGGGGCCGGCGGCGGCCCCCUCUGCCUGGGGGAGGUCCGUUCUGCCCCCGCCCGCGGCGCUGGGAAGUGUGUGCUCCACCUGCCAGUUGGGCCCGAGGGGACGCGGAGCCGGGCCCGCGUGCAACCGCGUGCCCUCAGCCCCGCGAGCGCAGGGUCCGAAGUCUGGGGGCGCCGAAGUCUGAGGGGAGCGAGACUCGACGCGCUUUUCCACGAAGGCCCAAGCCCCACCCUGAUGGCCCUCCAGCUGUUUCCAGAAGGCUCUCCCUGAAACACAAACUGAGCAGAAACAAUCCUGCCGGGAUUUUAACUGGGAUUACAUAUGCCUAUAAGGGUUUGGGGGAGCAGGGAGAGGAAUGCGUAUCUUCAUAGAGUUUGGACGGCCCAUCGAGAGACAGGAAGGGGCCAGUCUGCCCGGUGAUGGGCUGGCGUUCAGACACUCCCCUCCCAGCAGCAGCAGGGAGGAUGCCCUCGGGGAAACUGAGGCAGCAGGUCCCACCUCUCCCCCCACCACCCCUGGGGCCCAAGGUGCACCUGCUGGGAGCUGAUGGGGCAGGAGCACCCAUCACCUCGCCCAUGCCCGAUGGCCACCCUGACGGGACCGCCCCCAGGAGCGUCCAGUUGUGGGAAGCACUGGCAGGAGACAGGAGCGAGAAGGACCCUGAGGCCUGGUUACUUGUUCCUGAGAUCAGCCCUGCUGGGUCACGGAGUUGAGAGAGAAGAGAGAGAGAGCACGCGUGAGCAGAGGAGAGGAGCAGACAGAGAGAGAGAGACAAUCCCAAGCAGGCUCCAAGAUCAGCUGUUCCAUCCCAAGCAGGGAAAAUCCGAGGCCUUCUGCCACACUCACUCGACGGUCCCAUUCAGACGGGGUCUUCUCCUGCGUACCUUCCCCCACGAUGACAUUCGGGGAGAGAAGACUGCUUCCACUUUGCUGGGUGGAACUUGGUGCCAGAACCGAUGUGGCUUCAGCCGUGACAUCACCGUCGGGAAAAUCCUCAGCGUGGCCGGCCGUGGUAGUGACAGCGCCGUGAGCAGGGCGACGGGUAUCCAACAGGAGACUUGGAGGGGGUCCUACCCGCUUAUUUCGCUCACAGAACUUCCUGGAAAUUUGUCUCCCUGGAUGGAAAACAAGCUCCCACCAGGAGCCUCGUCACAUUGGGACAGUGGCUUUUCUUUUUUUUUUUUUCUUUUUUUUAAUUAAAAAAAAUUUUUUUUUAAUGUUUAUUUAUUUUUGAGACAGACAGAGACAGAAUGUGAACGGGUUAGGGGCAGAAAGAGGAGACACAGAAUCCAAAACAGGCUCCAGGCUCCGAGCACAGAGCCCGAUGCAGGGUUCGAACUCACAGACCACGAGAUCAUGACCUGAGCCGAAGUCAGACGCUCAACUGACGGAGCCCCCAGGCGCCCGAGGACAGUAGCUUUUCUUUACUGGGAGCAGACUGGCCUUUGUUGUUUUCUGAUGGUUGAGGCGUGGCCCCAGCAGACGGACGGAGGCAGAUAGAUGUCCUACGGUGCACAUGCCCCUGCCCUUGUGUUGAAGACCAGUGGUCUCUGGAGAGUCAGCUCCCGCCACGGCCUCAGGAAAGGGACACAGCUUGACUCACUCUGGCGCUAAGAGUAAGCCAGGGCUGGGGGCUCCCCCGAGCCACCUCCUGGAGCAGCCAAAACCCCAGCAGUUUCCCCCACAGGUUCCGCCUUUGGGGAAAAGAGAAGUCGACCUCAGCAGCCUGUGCCUGAGGUCACGCACUGGGGCCCUGUCCUGGAGCUUGGUUCCCCGGGCCACUCGCCAGCCAGGAUCACCUCAGGGCUCUUCCCUCCUGCCCCCCAUCGAACCCCACCGGAACAGCAGGGGGCUGAUGACACAGUGGGAGGCAUGAGAUCCAGGCCGCCUUGUCUCCAGGGGGUUGGGACCCAGGGGGUUCGCAGCCCUGCGGUGGCCUGGUGGGAGCGGGGCUGGGCAGGGUGGCUCCGGACUGCCUCCUGGAUCCCUCCCAGGUCAGUUUCCUCUCCGCCAGGCUGCUGUGAGGGCCACGCCGACUACACUGUGCCACCGUGUACGUCCGUGUGGGACCGUGUGUGUCCGUGAUCUUGCACAUGUGGCCCACAUCGUGCCAGCUUAGAACAUCCUGCCCGUCCUCCUACGCUCCUCUUAUCAGUAAAAGUGGCCUGCGUUUCCUCUCCUCGAAUCGGUGUGGGCUCGUGACUACCCAUCCCGUAGGACAGAAAUGGUGCCUCUGAGCUCUUGGCUGGGUGACGAACAGCCCGUCACAUCCCGCACCUGUCACUGGAGCCCCUGAGCCGCCUCGAGACACGUGUGAGCCCUCUGAGGUCGCCAUGCCGGAGACCCCACACGGACAGACCCUGAGACUGCAGCCAGCCCGGCUUUCACACUCGUGAGGGAAUACACUGGUUCAGGCCCCCAAGAUCUGGGGUCUGGCCGGGGGAGCAGCGGAUGGGCUGGAACCCGCUUGUGGAGAUACGGCCACGUAGGUAAACACAGCAGAGAGAUACGAGGCAGAUCCCGUGCAGGGAUGUGGCAACAAUUGCAAUCCCACAGCCCAACGUGCUUUGCAAACGGAAGAGGUGGUUGGUUGUUAAGGUGACUCACGCUCUUCCGAUUGUUGUUCUCAAACACUAAUACUUCCCUCGGCCGGAGCCAGGGUGCCAUGCUUCUCCGGUGGAAGCUUCCGGACAAGACGUGUACAGAGAAGGCGUGGGUCAGGCCACGGACGCUUGUCCGGUGCGGACAGAUGUAGGAAGCCACCUGUCGUUUCCCUCCGACCCUCCGCCCCUGGGCCCACAGCAGAUCAGUGGGACGCAGGUGCGUUUCCAGAACCUUGUCCUCGUUGUGUGUCCACAAACCUGGCUCCUGCCUUAGGGUGGGCUCCAGUAAGGGGCUUCCUCUGACUAUUUCCUCCCACUGCUCCUUUCGCAGCCUCCACCCUCGCCUACUUUCUCCUGCACCAAAAACUCCCUCCGGGCAGAAAUCUUGGUCUGUAGCACCUAACACGGUGCGUGGAUGCUUGUGGAAUAACUGGGCCCCACUCAUUCUGGCCGACUCCCUCAGCGUGCUCCGAGCAGACCCGCAAUUUCGUACAAGAUUCUGCGUGCGGACAGAGCGGCUCAGGGGACUGUGCGCUGGCCCCCGGUGAGUGCAGACCCGGACUGGGGUGGCAUUGAGAGAGGUCACCGUCCUCUGUGUUCGCACCUAGUCCGGGGCCAGCUGCUCGUCCCUGACCCUGCCAGCCCACCCACCUCGGUCCCCCUGCACUUUCCAAAACAAGAAGUCAUUCUCUUUGGUAGAGAUUCUGUCUUUCUCUCUCCCACCUGUUCUUGCCUGGAAACUCUGAAAUAAAGUAAACACGCUGCAAUUUUUAAGAGCCUUUACGGCAACACCUUUGUGGAUGCAGAUCGGGCAGAUGGAGCCCUGAAUUCGGCUGGCCCCGGGGCGAUAUAAAUGCCCUUCAUUUAUUCACCGAAGACCGACUGCGCGCCUCCCGGGUGCGGAUGGGGCACUGGCGCGCGAGAGAAAGCCCUGGCCUUGCAAUGCCUAACUGCGGUUCUUACAGCACAUGCUUACACUGCUUUUCUGGAAAUACGACCAUGGGAGUAUGAGGGGCAGUCUCAGGUCCCUAACACGCCCCAUCCCUUUGGAGGUUCUCAUGACGCCCAGCGGCAUCCGGAGGGGAGAAGGCCGCUGCUCCUGGCUUCUGCUCCGUGGGAAAACGGCUUUGUAAGGAAGUUCGAACCCAAGUCUGGCUGGCUGACCUUUCUGGAAGUUACAGGAAAGAUCUGUAAGGUAUUGUCUCUCCUGAAGAACUACUACUGAGCGGCCAGAAGCACAGAAC